AAAAUUGACCGCGUAGUUUUUGAGUUAUGGCCAUAGCAACACCAUAGCAACGAGGGACGCGCCGUCCUGCCGACCGCUACCUCAUGACGUAACUUCCAGGAAGCCUCGCCACCACUCUGAACACGGAAAUAUAGCACCACGCUACCCUCGCCGUAUAUUGCAAACAUUUUCUGGGUUUUACUCGCGGGAUUCGUCAUGCCAUCUCCAUGUGUAGCGAUGAAUUGCUCACAGGAAGACUCGAGACUCUAGGAGUUGUCCAAAAAAACUUUCUCCUGCAAAAGCCACAACAGCUUUGAAAACCUACAACAAUGCAACCUUGGUUUUACAAAUACGAAGCCAAACAUAAAAAAUUAAGCGGCGGAAACCCUCAACACGAUGAAAAAAGCGUUGCAAGUCAGUCGCCACCCAGUUUCCCAAAAUCAAGAGAGAGUGGGUCGAGUCAUAUGAUGACCCAAGUGAUGCGGUGUCCAGCGAUGACGACUGAAGAUAUCCUAUGAGGCCUGCCAGAUCCUGAAUUUCUUCCGUCUGCGACAUCAGAUGAUGAUGACUUAGGAGAAAUAAAUGUAGCAAAUUUUGAGGAGAUGAAAUCAUAAACUAGUCAUAUAUACAGUACACAUUUUUAAAAGAAAAAUAUACCUUCACAUUUUAAUGAUAAUGCAUUAUCUUUGUAUAGAGAACACUUAAUGCCACAGAAAAGAGUAAAUACAUAUUUCCCACUGCCACUUUCAUUUUUCAAUGUUGCGCUAGUCCGUUGCUAUCCUAACUUUGUGUUGCUUACUAAAUUUAUGUUCUUUGAUGUGUGCCAUUGUGUGUUUGGUAUAACUUAGCUUAUAUAGUUGGGAGAACAAGUAUUCGAUACACUGCCAAUGGGUUUUCCCAUUGGCAAUGUAUCAAAUACACUGCCAAUGGGAAAACACACUGCCAAAUGGGUUUUCCCAUUGGCAGUGUAUCAAAUACUUGUUCUCCCCACUGUAUGUUGUGUCACAAUCUGACAGCGAAAGCUGAUGCUGAUUCAACAUAAAUCUGGUAUCAUUUAUUAUUGUGGCCUAUUGAAUUUUU